CCUGGGUUAGCCAUCAGGGCUGGCCUCAAGCUGUGGAACUGCAGUUCUCUGUGUGAUUAAUGAGGUUAGUCAAAGCCUCUGCCCAGAUUUAUUGGAGACUUCUUUUCUGAGAAGUCAGGCUGGCCUAACCUCUUGUCCAAGAUCUUCUCUUUCCUAACCUUCUCCUAUCUCAUCCAUAUCACAAUGGGAUAGGAGCCCUUAUAUGCUUACCUUGAGACCUGGUUUUAGAGGAAAAUGGAGGUGAACAAGCAAUCUGUCCACCAUUGGCCAAUAUGGAGAAAAUGGCAGGCUGCAGGGCAGUCAUGAUGAGAAGCAUCUACAAAACAGAAGAGAGGGGAUGGGUGGAAGGGGCUUGCCAGACAGGUUGCUGAAGCUAGGACUUGUCCUUCCAUUAUGGUUUUGGCCCACCAUUAGAUCUGUAUAGCUAAGAGGGUUGAGAUUCACACUUGAUGAAAUAUUUAUGGAAUUUUAAUCUUUAGCAAGUUACAAUCUCACCUUCUAUCCAAUGUUUUAAUAAGAGUUGCUCACAAGAAACAAGAACUUAUUUCCUUAUCUUA
rnacentral:lncRNA from 1 species